rnacentral:tRNA from 2 species
UGGGAUGUAGCCAAGCGGUAAGGCACCUGACUCUGACUCAGGCAUUUCCGGGGUUCGAAUCCCUGCAUCCCAACCA